AGUGAACGCUGGCGGUAGGCCUAACACAUGCAAGUCGAACGGCAGCACAGUAAGAGCUUGCUCUUACGGGUGGCGAGUGGCGGACGGGUGAGGAAUACAUCGGAAUCUACUUUUUCGUGGGGGAUAACGUAGGGAAACUUACGCUAAUACCGCAUACGACCUACGGGUGAAAGCAGGGGAUCUUCGGACCUUGCGCGAUUGAAUGAGCCGAUGUCGGAUUAGCUAGUUGGCGGGGUAAAGGCCCACCAAGGCGACGAUCCGUAGCUGGUCUGAGAGGAUGAUCAGCCACACUGGAAAUGAGACACGGCCCGGACCCCUACGGGAGGCAGCAGUGGGGAAUAUUGGACAAGGGGCGCAGGCCUGACCCAGCCAUCCCGCGGGGGUGAAGAAGGCCUUCGGGUUGUAAACCCCUUUUGUUGGGAAAAAAAACAAGCAGGUUAAUACCCCGCUGUUCGGACGGUACCAAAAAAAUAAGCCCCGGCUAACUUCGUG
rnacentral:rRNA from 1 species